rnacentral:lncRNA from 1 species
CAAAGCCGGGGAACUACAGUCACCAUCUCACAUCAGGAGCUGGGAUCACAGAGACCUGCAGAGCUGCCUGCGGGGAGGAGGGCAGCCACAGGUGUCACACAGAGAGGCCCCUGGAGCCCCUGCAGCUUGACUCUGCCCACGAGCCAACAGGGAGAUGCUUCUUCUUAUCACCCUCAUUGCUCUGACUGUGGCUGGAGUCCCAGCCCCACCUCUGCCCUCUCACCUCUCUGGGAGCAGGCGAGAGAUCAUCUGCCCAAGAGAGGACGCCUUUCCAGGGAGGAGCGCACCGAGGGGGCCCUGCCAGCCCCUGGGGUCCUCACCUUGCCUUCUUCAAGCAGGGACAGGACGGCCUUGAAGGAGGGAGCAGUGACCAUGCUGGCUCAGACUGCAGAGCUGCGGCCAUCUGUGACUUGGAGGAUGAGAACCCCAGUGCCAUCACAAAAAAUCUGCUCUUCCAUUUGCAGAAUACUAACAUUCCUCAGUGGCAUAAACAGUCAGUGCUGGGUUCAUUCCCUUCCUUGCCUUACGGUGUUUUUUUUUUCAAAACCUCUUGUUUGUAUAAAAUGAUUCACACCCUGGAAUUGACUACAGGGAACCCUCUCCCUGCCGCCUGUCCUCUGGAUAAAACUGAGUCUCGGGUCUGGGAGGGCACCGCAGCGGAGCUGGAUUGCUGCCCA